GGGGAUCCCUGAGUUCCUUUCAAUACAGUCGGCUCUCAAGCACUGCACGAUGAUAUCCAAAAUGAUUACUGCCACUUUAGCCUUGGUCCUUUUCGGGGUAGUAGCAGCGGGUCCUGUUGCUGAACCCGAACCCGAAGCUGAUCCUGGAUUCCACCGAGGAUUUGGUGGAGGAUUUGGAGGAUUUGGUGGAGGAUUUGGAGGCCAUGGAUUCGGAUACGGAGGCUACCGAGGAAAGAGGAGCAGUAGCUGAACCCGAAGCUGAGGCCUGGAUUUAUUCACCGAGGAUUUGGUGGAGGAUUUGGAGGAUUUGGUGGAGGAUUUGGAGGCCACGGAUUCGGAUACGGAGGCUACCGAGGAAAGAGGAGCCCAGUAGCUGAACCCGAAGCUGAGCCUGGAUUUAUUCACCGAGGAUUUGGUGGAGGAUUUGGAGGAUUUGGUGGAGGAUUCGGAGGCCACGGAUUCGGAUACGGAGGCUACCGAGGAAAGAGGAGCCCAGUAGCUGAACCCGAAGCUGAGCCCGGAUUUAUUCACAGGGGAUUCGGUGGAGGAUUUGGAGGAUUUGGUGGAGGAAUUGGUGGAUAUGGUGGCCGAUAUUAUGGUUAAGGCAAAACUGUCAAGAUCAGACAUAUGUUUUGGCUAUAAAUAUAAGUGAAUAAAGACCUUUUUUGAAACAA